AGAGUUUGAUCCUGGCUCAGAGCGAACGCUGGCGGCAGGCCUAACACAUGCAAGUCGAGCGCCCCGCAAGGGGAGCGGCAGACGGGAGAGUAACACGUGGGAACGUACCCUUCAGUUCGGAACAACUCAGGGAAACUUGGGCUAAUACCGAAUACGUCCGUAAGGAGAAAGAUUUAUCGCUGAAGGAUCGGCCCGCGUCUGAUUAGCUUGUUGGUGAGGUAACGGCUCACCAAGGCUACGAUCAGUAGCUGGUCUGAGAGGAUGAUCAGCCUCACUGGGACUGAGACACGGCCCAGACUCCUACGGGAGGCAGCAGUGGGGAAUAUUGGACAAAUGGGCGCAAGCCUGAUCCAGCCAUGCCGCGUGGAUGAUGAAGGCCUUAGGGUUG
rnacentral:rRNA from 1 species